CUCUCCAAACCCUAACUUCUGAUUUUCCAUCUGAGAGAAGAGCAGAGUAACGCAUGCGACUCCCUUUAAGAGGUUGCCAUUAACCUUCACAUUCAUUCUCAUUUACGCGACAACCCACUAAGUCUCAUUAAUUUCCCAUGACCGCCCUCUUCAGCUUCUCCGCAAUCUCUCACCUAUAAAAAGGCAUCUCUGGCGCCAUGGUUCUUAUUCAUUUGGCUUCUCCACUCAACACACAGGCACUAACCUUUACCGGCAAUUGUGACCUCCCAGCUAUCGCUCUCCUAAAAAAAAAAUGGUAAGCUUUCUCACGAUUGGUGGAGGAGGAAACCUAGGACUUUAGGAGGGAUAACAACAGGUGAUGCCUUCACCUAUCUCAAAGCUGUUAUAGGACAUCUUUCAAGACAAGAAAGACAAUUGCCACUAAUGGCGUCAUAGCAAGAGUAAGAGAGUUGUUCAAGGGCUAUGACGACUUGCUUUCGGGGUUUAAUACUUUCUUGCCCAAGGGAUACAAAAUAACCCUUUCGUAGAAGAAGGCAGUGGAUCUCGGAGAAGCUACCGAUCAGGGUGCGCUUUGGGAGCGAUAACCGUGCAUAUAAGAAGUUUCUAGACAUCUUUAACAUGUAUAGAGGGGAAAUCAGUCUAUCUCUGAUGUAUAACAAGAUGGUGUGUUUACAGUUGAUCAGGUUCUUCUUAUUACUCUCUCUCCGGAAGGAAUAACUACCAGGUGAUAAGAGUUCUCCAGAUCCUGCCAUGCAUCCAAGGAAUUUUGAGAAGUUCUACUCCUAGAUUAUUCUUUCUAAAAGAUGCUCAUAUCUUUGUUAAUAAGAUGACGAAAUAUAGUGUGAAAACUGAUUUCUCAAUAUAAUAAGUUGCCGUAAAGAAACUUUAUAUAUUACGAGACUCGACCUCUUUACGUAAAAGAAUAAAUUCACUUCUUAGA